rnacentral:rRNA from 1 species
CACCGCCCGUCACACCAUGGGAGUUGGCUUUACCUGAAGACGGUGCGCUAACCAGCAAUGGAGGCAGCCGGCCACGGUAGGGUCAGCGACUGGGGUG